GGGCCCGCACAAGCAGCGGAGCGUGUGGUUUAAUUCGAUGCAACGCGAAAAACCUUACCUGGAUUUGACGUGUUGGUAGUAGUGAAACGAAAGUGGAACGACCCUUCGGGGAGCCAAUGCAGGUGCUGCAUGGCUGUCGUCAGCUCGUGUCGUGAGAUGUUGGGUUAAGUCCCGCAACGAGCGCAACCCUCGUCGCUAGUUAUACGUGUCUAGCGAGACCGCCGCUAUCAAAGCGGAGGAAGGUGGGGAUGACGUCAAGUCAGCAUGGCCUUUAUGUCCAGGGCUACACACACGCUACAAUGGCCGGUACAAUGGGCAGCCAAAGGGUGACCUGGAGCGAAUCCCAUCAAAGCUGGUCGUAGUUCAGAUUGUAGGCUGCAACCCGCCUACAUGAAGCCGGAGUUGCUAGUAAACGCAGGUCAGCAGUACUGCGUUGAAUACGUUCCCGGGCCUU
rnacentral:rRNA from 1 species